rnacentral:rRNA from 1 species
CAGGACGAACGCUGGCGGCGUGCCUAACACAUGCAAGUCGAACGGAGAAAUUCAGCAAUGGAUUUCUUAGUGGCGAACGGGUGAGUAACGCGUAGACAACCUGCCUUCUAGAUGGGGACAACACCGCGAAAGUGGUGCUAAUACCGAAUGUUGUAACAUGAGCACCUGCUCGAGUUACUAAAGGUGGCCUCUAUUUAUAAGCUACCGCUAGAAGAUGGGUCUGCGUCUGAUUAGCUAGUUGGUGAGGUAAUGGCUCACCAAGGCGACGAUCAGUAGCCGGUCUGAGAGGAUGAACGGCCACACUGGGACUGAGACACGGCCCAGAC